AAAAAGCUAGUUUAAUAAAAAUAAAAGCUUGUGGUGUUUUAGAUAAGAGAAAAAACUCUUGCUUUUUU
rnacentral:tRNA from 1 species